AGUUCAGCCUAGUUCAGUUAAUUUUAGCUGGUGUAAUAAAAAGUAUGAUUAUUAUAUACCGAUGUGAUGUGGCAUCGAUUUGUUUAUAAAUAAUUAUCAAAUUAUCAGUUGCCGAGGAUGAAGCAAAUAAGCUUUGAUCUGCUUUAAUCGGUAGCGCUUACCGGGACAAAUCAAUAGGACGAUCCACCGGCCUAACUUCAAAAGAUGACACUAUACCGGUGAAAAACAAUUUAAAUAUGAACAACGGGCAUUACUGAAAUCGGUAACAAAGAUAGUUGAUUCUCCCGGACUUGCUUCUAAGGAAUUUGCCCCGGCUAUAAACUUUCAGCAGCGGCAGCAUUUAAUAAAGAUUUCCGGAGCUUAAUUUUGUCCUUCAACAGUUUCAGUGCUGUUUCAAACACUCGCUCUUGAUCUAGAGCUCCUUAUAAAUCUGAUUCCUGUAAAAAAUUGAUAAAUAAUUGUGCGGCUGUUUUGCUGUGCUGAUCAGCCCGAUUCACGCGUAAAAAAUCAGUCGCAGCGGCACAUUCGAGGCAGGACGAUCAUAACGGAACUCUUCUGUAGAAGGAAACGCAACAAUUCAAGCGAAAACAAAUUAACUGAUGUAAUUCGAAGAUUUGCUAGCUGUCAUUUAGCGAUGUCUCGUCUUCAUCCCUCCAGUGUA